CCGGCGGAGCCGCGUCCUGCGCUGUCCCGUCUUGCCGCGAUGAGCGCGGCCGGGCUGGUGUCCGCUACGCCGCCCGCCCCCGCCCCGCCCGGGGCACCCGCCCCCGCCAUGCCCCCCGGCCCCGAGUACUACGAGGAGGAGGAGCUGGAGAGCGCCGAGGAAGAGGAUGGCGAGCGGAGCGCUCGGGCCCGAGACUCCGACGAGGAUACUGAAGAUGCUAGCGAGACUGAUCUGGCAAAACAUGAGGAGGAAGACUUUGUAGAGAUGAAAGAACAGAUGUAUCAGGACAAACUGGCAUCUCUUAAGAGGCAGCUGCAGCAGUUGCAGGAAGGUACUCUUCAGGAAUAUCAGAAAAGAAUGAAGAAGUUGGACCAGCAGUACAAAGAAAGGAUACGAAAUGCUGAACUGUUCCUCCAGCUGGAAACAGAUCAGGUGGAAAAAAAUUAUGUCAAGGAAAAGAAGGCAGCAGCAAAGGAGUUUGAAGAUAAGAAAAUUGAGCUUAAGGAAAAUUUGAUUGCAGAGUUGGAAGAGAAAAAGAAGAUGAUUGAGAAUGAGAAGUUAACCAUGGAAUUAACAGGAGACUCUAUGGAAGUGAAGCCUAUCAUGACGAGGAAACUGAGGCGACGACCAAAUGAUCCAGUCCCCAUCCCAGACAAGAGGAGGAAACCUGCCCCUGCUCAGCUAAAUUACUUGUUGACGGAUGAGCAAAUAAUGGAGGACCUGAGAACCCUAAAUAAGCUUAAAUCACCCAAGAGACCAGCCUCUCCCUCCUCCCCUGAGCACCUCCCAGCGACGCCAGCGGAGUCUCCAGCGCAGCGGUUUGAGGCCCGGAUAGAAGAUGGCAAACUCUACUAUGAUAAAAGAUGGUAUCACAAGAGCCAGGCCAUUUACCUGGAGUCUAAAGAGAACACUAAGAUCAGCUGUGUCAUCAGUUCUGUGGGCGCCAACGAGAUCUGGGUGAGGAAAACCAGUGACAGCACAAAGAUGAGAAUCUACCUGGGGCAGCUGCAGCGAGGUGUUUUUGUGAUCCGUCGGCGAUCGGCUGCAUGACUGUAUGCUCUUCCUUGGUCCUUUUUUUUUUUUUUCUUCUUCUUCUUGUUUUUUAUUAAAACCAAUAGAGAAACCUCUAAUGGGGAAUGGCAGUCUGUUCACUCUCAUCUUAGAAGCAGACAACGCUGUCAUAACCUCUUACGAGACAGUUUGUGGCUGGCCACAUUAUCCCCAGUAGUCCUAAAAUCUUGGUGAUACACAAACACUGCCCUGGACUAUUUCUGGACUUUGCAUCAGGCUGCUGUAUGCCUUUUUUUUUUAUAUUUUGGAUGACUAUUUAAGAAGAUUUGCAUCAUACGUUUCUUCAUCGUUGUUCCAUGGUGCGCAGGUUGGACUUGUAUGUUGAAAGCAGCGUAACUUUUGCGUUUUGAAUCAGACCAACAGAAGAAACUUUGCUUGUCAAGACCCGGGGUCGUUCUUUUUGGCUUUCUUUCCUUGCAAGGCUCAGGAUGUCGGGCAAAAGGAGAUGAAUCCUGCCAACUUUCAGCUGCAGCUGAGGAAUGCAUCUGUAAUGUCUGGUACACAUCAGCUUUACUGGAUGAACUGCUUAAGGACUCGAGUGCUGAAGCUUGUUUGGGAAAGUCUGAUUAGUUUAGCAAGUGCUGAAAAUGGAGUUGAUUUUAAUAUAGCUAAGCAGUCACACGUGGCUAAUCUGAAGCAUCCAUUUCUCUUCACAUUAAAAAACCCUUCGACAAACAAGCAAGGAGUAUCUCUUAUACCUAGAUUUCCUGGAAUAGGCAGAUGAGGAUAAACCAAAGGAUUGGUUAACUGGACUUUGCACAUACAAAGACUACAAGUGUGGUACAGACUGGAAAGCUGCCUUAACAAAACCAUCUUUCCCCCAAGCAUCAUAGGUUUCCCUUUGAAGGGUGUUUUAAUUACUGGAGAUAAUGCUGGAUUUCUACACGUACUUACCCUCCAAAAACACAAGAGGUCUCGGUCUGCAGCUCGUUCAGGUUAACCUGCGUGUUUCGUCUCCUCACCCCACGUACUUCGCUCGCCGUGCUGCCGUCCGCUCUCAUUUCCAAUUUCACACCGACAUGCUCUUGACGUAUUUAUAAACGAGUUCUUAUGUCAAUCCACUAGAAAACAACCACAUACAUCCCAGUGAGAUAUUUCUCUACUCUGUCUCCUGUUGCUGUGGCAAUCUUGAUUGCUACUGAGCAAAAAGGGUGGCAGACGCUCGUGUCAGCGCCGGAACAUCCUGCUUCCUGCAUGGUCAGUGCUGUGAAGUGCAUCCAGAGCCUGCUGCUGUCUGUCUUGGCAGUGAUUUUAACCACACCAUAUUUUUGAUGGGCAAAUCUCAAAGGCUUCUGCAGAGAGAAGUAAGUGAGAACAUACGUGCUUACUCAGCCGGGGAAGCUGAGGCACAGGAGUGCAGUGAUGACACGAGGAGGAGAGCGGUCCCCUUCAGCUCCCUUAGCUGAGCUUUCCUCGGGGUGUUAGGGCAGCCACAUCAGAACUUCAUCCAUGCCUCUCAGCGUGUCAUCUCCAGGCUUACCCUCUUCUCUUUCCAGCUGAGAAGGCUGAGGCUCAGCCUGGAACAGGAGACCGGAUGGUUUCUGUGUAAUUAGUUACUACUAAUCAGCUGGCCUCUAGUAGUGGGCUAUACGAAGUUAAUUGUCUGUCCAUAGUAAAAUGGCAUGAACCAUGAGAAAAGAGCAUUUUUUCCUUUGCAGUAGGUGGGGGGGGAAUGAGAAUGGUCUGUUAAUGUGAUCAGCUGACAGAUGGUAACUCGCAGGGGAUAAUUAACUGUUUGCUCGUACAGGAUGUUGAGUGUGUAACAACGCUGUCAGUAGAGACGGCAACAGAAGAAGAGGAUUUGGUGCGGCACAGCUCGGAGAGGACCAGAGCCCGCUGCAAGGUGACACUAAAAAGGAGGAUCUCUCCCUCCAGUCUGGAACUAACGAGGUAGAGACAAUUAAAUCCAUCUUGCUGAGGGCUGGCAGCUUUCUGCCUCCUGCCUGUGGCUUGCCGUGGCAUCGUGGAGCUGAAGGAAAGGAAAAGCUGCCUGACGGCUGGGGGCUCUGAGGUGCUGGGAAGGUUUUCUGCCUCCAUCCUGGGGAGAAGGGGAAUACAUUAGAAAAAAAUUAUAGGAUGUAUAAGUCCGGUCUGUUGAGAGCGUUGUAGUAAGGAGCAUGUCCCCUGACCGACUUUUAUCCCUAGGAGAGAAUGAGCUGCAGUGAGUGAGCAGCAGCAGAGUGACAUGACUUUGGUGGCCUGUGUCACCAAGGCAGCAAGUGUGCUCCCUGGGUCUGUCCUGCCUGCAGGGCUGUCUGCUAUUUUAAGAGAAGAAGACAUGGAAAUGAUGUUGUUUGCAGGCAGCUCUUGUUCUUCCUGCUGCAACAAGCUCUGGGAGCCAGGGUGGAGGGAAAGCAACCUCUGUGUCUUUUUGUGAUGCCUCUCUCUCUCCAUAUAUUCUCAAAAUCCUUGUUUCUAAAGACAGCUGUCCCAGCAGUGAGGGUUAAGCACAAGUGCAUGUGGUGCUGGCAGGAUAAGGAGGAUGAUCAAUGAGUUGGAAACCCCUCCCUUCCUCUGGAUUUUGAGGACUCUGUGUACAAUUUAAAGGAAGGGGGGAAGGCGUCUGUACUGAAGAUUUGUCAAACAUGUUCCUGGCAGAUAAGUUGGUUUUAUCGAGUGGCUUGACGUGUAAUUCCAUGCAGUGCAUAGAUGUUCAUCCGAUGUUUACUCAGAGGAAGAGAUUUCCUACCCCUUCUAAAAAUUAAACUUUGUGUAAUGGUGCAUUUGCUCAGGGAAAAUGAAUGUGAAGAUGCUGUCAAAGUGUCAGGUCUGUCUGGAACAAGGGUCCUGCAGAAGACAAGUGGCAUUAGUGUGUUCAGAGAUGUUUCAUAUAAAAUACUGAAGUGCUCAUUCUUUUGGGAGCCGUGUUAAUUGAACUAAAAGAGGCGCAGUGCCCGGGAGGGAGAUGCUGUUCACACCUGGAAAGGCAGAAGUGCUUGCAGAAGGAGUCAGAAUAGGUUAUUUCUGCUUCAAAAUGAUGUCAGAAGGAGGUGAGUAAUUGUUCUGAAAUUACAGUUUUCCACUUGAAUCAUUUUACCGAAGUCCAGGUAUACAAGGGCUGCUCUGAAAGUAAUGCCUCCUAUUUUACGAUGUCAGCCCACGCCAUCAGAGGCGGAUGCUGGUGGGAUGGCAGUAGAGGCUGAACCUUCCCACCAAUGUCCCAUUACAUUUGGUCACUGUGUGACCGAUGGCAGCAGAGGGGCAGCCUGAUAGAAUGGUGGCUGACAUGGAAGUGUGGAUGAAGCAAAACUAUGUUAUUCUCCAUGUGAAAAAAAAAAAUGGCACCUGUUGACAUUCAUUGAUACUCGCUGAGCAUCUAUAGGGACCAAGUAGUGGAUGUUGGCACAGUGAAAGCUGGACUGCGUGGGCAACGUUUUCCUAGCAACUAUGCCAUCGUAGCAGCUGCGACAGACCACAGGCUUGAAGAGUAAUUAAAACACAUCACACUCUCACGGCUUCCAUGGAGCUGCAAGUCUGCACGCUCCUCUCUUCUCUCAGAAAAACUCGUGCUGAGAAAGUGCCUCCUUAGCCAACCUGGACGUGUGGUUCCUUGGCACCAGGUGGUUUCUCCUCAUGGGGUCAGCUGGGCUGCUGCUGGCUGAACAGAGUUCCCCUUUUUGGUACUGAAAUAACAUGCCAGCUAACACCGUCUCUCUUCUGAAGGCUUCGAGGCUUUUACAACAGUGGAAUAAUUAUUCUGCGUAUGGGGAAAUGGAGGCAGGGUGACCGUGGCUGCUGCAGCUCACAUCCAGAAGUGCUGGCAGAAGCUUGCUGUUUGCCUCAGCUUUCAAAGAAGCAAACCAAUCUACAUCUGAUGAGCACCCUUCCUUCACAGAAACCCACUGAUUUCGUAAACCCUGUCACUGACUCUUGUAACAACUGGCUGGAAGGGCGAGUCAGUAUCGCUCACGUUGAGGUUUGGCCUUGUAAAUACAGAUAGCCUGCCGGAGCCCUGUUUGUGCCGGGGGUCAGCAUAAGCAAUGCUUGGAGUUUGCUUUUUCAGAGGGAGCUUUCUGUCCUAGCAAUUUGUUUUGGCCUUGAACCCCUUCUCUGCUGCUGUAAGCUUAACAAGAUCCUUUGUCAUUCUCCAGGGAAGCUUUCAAACUCACCGCUGCGGGUUUGAAUCGGCUUUAAAUAAAAGGUGUUCUGUUUCUGAAGUGCCCUGCCCGUGGGCUCUGGAGCACUCUGUGUGCAAUCCAAACAGCCAGCACACAAAGCCGUUACAGGUGAAGUGCCCAAGCACGAUGACGUGGCAGAGAGCUCCAGGAAAGUGUUUGCAAUUGAGUCCUGAAGGAAGAAGGCUUUGUCUGAAAACCCAGCACCAGCAGGUGAUGGCUGCGUGUCAAGAUUAGGGCUGCGCCUCUCUUCCUGCAGCACAAGGACGCCCUCGUGUUCACCACCCUGCUUGGCCGAGGGGGAUGCGAAAUGGGAGAAGCAGAGGGCGCAGCCACGAUGUCUGUCCGUCUGUCAGCUCCCUUCAGAAAGGUCCUGCUGGCUCCUGACUUGCCUCUGCUGAGGUCCUGCUGGUCUGUGCCAGAUUCAGAGGUCCUGAGGAGAAGGGAAGACACGAGUUCAGCGUGGUGGGAAACAGAUUGAAGCACUCCUAACUUAAAAACUUUGCAAAUGCCGGCUGUGAGCGCUGCUUGUUUCCUCCUCAAGUGCGUGCAGAAAUGAGGCACGUCGUGGCAGACGUCUACAUGCUCAGGUUCAAGUAGCAGGCACGAGUGCCGCCGGGGGACAUCUCCGCAGCCGCCGCGUGCUCUGCGCGCUCCUGGAGGUGCGGAUCACAGCGGGCAGCUUGCGGAGCUGUGACAGGCUGCCCCGGCUCUCCGAGCAGAGCCUGUCUCCUCGAGCUCUGCCUCCGUUGCCUGCACAAGCUAAUUUCUAUCUGGUGGCAAUGCUGAGCUGUUCGAAAUCACCCAGCCGUUGGAGCUGCAGCCUUGCCCGUGGCUUCCUUCCGAGAAAGAGCUUGCUUUUUACUUAAAGCUUGUGGGGGGGGAGCAAGCUGAUUGCUAACAACUGCAACUGCUGCGUUAGCUCUUGCUAAAGGACAGAAGCAGUGGGAUGUGGCUGCUCCCGUUGGCAAACGGCCCUCAGCUCUGCCACCAUCUCCAGGCAGAAGGGGACUAGCAGGGGCCCGGAGACGGGGGGCUGCUCCCUGCCUUCUGCAGGCAGCAGUGGGAGCAGAAAGCUGCAUGGCAGCUCCCUUUAGAGAGCACGAGGCUUUGGGGGAGAAAGUGACUUUUAUAGAAAUAAAGGAGACUUCCUUUUGGGUCAAGCGCUCUGGAAAUGAAUGGUUUUGAGAUAAAAGCCUUUUUACUCAGGUAACGCAGAUUCACAUUGCCUAAAGGGAAGUCUGCCUUGUGCUGGGGUAUUUUUCCCCUCUGGAGGCAUUGUGAUUGCUUUUGAAGAUGGGUUUUCAGCGUACAAAAGAGAAGAAAGCCGAGAGGAAAAAAGCUUUUAAAAAUACCAGGGGUGCCAGUGGUCUGUCUCAGUUUGUCAGCGUGUCUCUCUUGCUCGUCACGCCACUGUUGGGUGCAGGGAUUGUUCCUCCUCUUCCCUUCGUGACUUGCUCCUUCCCUCUGGCAUCUUGAUCAGUCAAGUCUGGGUUUCUUUUUCCCUUUCCAGGCCAACCUCUUGCAUGCAGGGCCGCUCUGCAGGCAGGUGCUGUGCUGCGUUGGGUGGGGAUUGCCCCAGUGACCUCAGCCUGCUGUGCUGGAGCCGUACCCAGGGCCCGCCGGAUGCAGGGGAACACGUGGGUGAAGCACCUUUCUGAAAGAAGUAUGAAAUGGACUCUUUUCCCAUCAGUUUGAUCUGAGGAAUCUCUUGAAAACGUGCCUUACCCCAAGGACUCGGGGUCCACAAGGGCGUUCUAGCUUUGCUAAGACUUCUGGAAGCAUCAGGUUCUCACUUCUCCUUCUGCUUGUUUCUCCUGCCUUGCCCUGGAGGGAUGAGACAUCUGCAGGGCUCUCCUCUGCUGCUGCUUAGUGUGAAAUGUUGUAAAACCCAGGCAUUGAUUUCUCAAUCAAAGGUGCCUGUUUGCUCCUCGCUCUGUGGCUUUAAUGCCUGCAAAUUCAUCUUUCGCUCCCACGCGGUUUGCUUUAAGAUUCUGAAAUUGGCUGUUGCGCUUCAGAGAUUUGGGAAGUGAACAGGUUCAAUCAAGCCAAUAUUAUUUGUGCUGGCUCUCAGAGUAGGGGGUUGAGCCAAGCAGAAGCCCAGGUCAUGGUGUCUCUCAGGGCUCAGGGGAGACCUGUGCCUGUGUCUGGCCGUGGUGUGGGGCUCCAUUGCCUUGCUGGCUCCUGGAAAAAGCUGUGGGUCCUCUUGUCCUGAUGGUGAACCUGGGUCCGUGGGUCUGUGAAGGCUGAGGUUGCAGCCUGACCUAUGAACAGGCUCCAGAAAAACCUGAAGACCUUAAAAUAAACAAAACCCCACCACGUUUCCACCUGCGCGUCUCAUAUUUUCGUAGGAGUCAACUUUGUUCCCUGUUUUCAGAGCGCUGUAGCUUUGCUGUUCUUGAAGUGCUGUGUAGAUGACGCCAGCCUUGCUGAAAUGGAGCUGCUUCUGUGGAGGAAUGCAACAGCUGGAAGUCGAAAGGAUUCCUGCCUCCCGUGGUUGCUGCCCUGCAGUGAUGACUGGUGUGCCCUAAGCUGGGAGACUGUGGUCCUCUGCAUGCCACGUCGUCUGGGCUCCAACUGCUGCCGCUGGUCAACCUCAGUGUUCCCAUCGCUUAAAGGAGUGACGUGGAAAACCCUUCCCAAAGAGCAGAGAUGGAGCAGAGCAAAGCAAAGGAGGAGGGAGGACGGAAUGCAGGUAUCUACAGAAAUCCUGCGUUUCCAGCCAAGGACGUGCUGGAUUUACAGUUGCCUACCACUGUUAAUGCAUUCUCGUCUGCAUGGUCGUGUGAAGGUUGCUUUCCCGUUGACCAGAGGGAGACCAGACCCACGGCUCGGCCACUCACCCUUCUUAGAGCUGCUGAAGACACUCAAAAUGGGACGAUGGCCCCGUGCUGCUCUUUCCUGGAGCCUCCUCUUCCUCCUAAGGUUUCCCGAUCUCUGUUUCACCCGAAGGGGCUUCCUCGUCUCCACUGCAGCAGGAUGCAGAGCCUGAACUAACUCUGAGCAAGGAGAUGUGGAGUCCAGAAACAGCAGACCUGCUUUAAAUGAGGCUCUUGCCCUGGGUGAUCAUCCCACCUUGAGAAGCACAGCGUACUAUCUCUGGCUUCUUCCCAAGAUGUACGUUACCCACCUCUCUCACCCUAAAAGCGAUCCAGCCUGGGAGGAAGCUGCAGAAACUCGGCCUCUACAGGCAAGUUGUAGGGCAGGAAGCAGCGAGUGAGGCUCCCACCCGGCUGCCCGUGUGCUUUUCCUGCCCAAAGUUCCCUUCUUUCUGCUCGCAGCUCUGUGCUGCAGUGGGGUGGCUGGGAAGGCUGCGUCACAGCUGACUCACGCUGCUGGUAUGGUAGGAGCCCCACGCACUGCUUCCCCCCCAGCUCCCCACUGGCACCUGUUUGCUCUCUGUCUUUGCAGUUCAGCAGUCCCUGAGAUGAACCUGAGGUUGCCACAUGCAGGGGCAGCGAGGCUGUGCCUCAUCCCAGCCUUCCCAGCUGCAGCUCGCUGCUCUCCCUCUGUCACAUGAGCAUUGCACCAUCUCCCCCUUGGAGAAUGAGAGUGGAACCUGCCUGGUUGCCGGAGCGAAGUGAAAUCUGCUCCAGCUUCAAAUGCACGCAAUCCCAAGCCCUGCACUUUGGUGAUGUACCCAAGACGGGCUCCACACCGGUUCCUGUCUCAAUCCAGCACGCUGCCUGCCCUCAGUGCUUUCCCCUGGAGCAUCCUCGAGCCUGUCCAGAAAAACACUCACCAGGCUGGGAAGCCUUGAAAACCUGGGGUCGGACUGGGAAAACUCAGAGGGUCAGAGAGAAGAGCCCGCAUUGAGAACAGUGCUGCUGCCCUCACUUCUGUUUCUGGUGGGGGCACCCAAAAGCAGGAAUUGCUCCUGGUCUCUCUGCUUCUUGGCGCCUGGAAAUAAAUCAGUGCUUGCUGGACGAUGAAGGGCAAACAAGCCAAGGAUGAAAAAUCAGAGCAAUGGCCAAGGAGAUGACAUCCACUUGACUUCUCUUGCCCGCGGUGUGAGCAAUUAAUCUAGCUAAGGCACUGCAGUGGAGUGAGACCGAGAGCAGGAGGACGGAGCUGCACCAGCAGCUGCAAGGACCAGGCGUCUUCCUCCGCCUUGCUGCCCUGACCUUUGCGGUGAGGUUGUGCACAGAGAAAUGUGCUGAACCACCCCGUUGCCAUGGAAACCAAGGCCGAGAGGGGACCAGCCUGCUCCUGCUAAUUGCUGUGGCUUCAUGACCCCAUCCAUCCAUCCUGCUGCCUCCCGAAACCUGCUUGGCUGGGAGAUGCGCGGAGGUGGAUAUGGGGAGGUUUUGUGCAAAACCAGGCUGCUGAAGAGCCUCCACCCAUGGGGAGCAAUGCAGGAACAGAGAUACGGAUGGAGAUGCCCUCAAAGUCACAGGAUGGUGCAGUGCCACUGUCCUGGCCAUGGGGCCACAGGGACAGGCUCACUUCUGCUUCAUUGGGUUUUAGGGGACCACAAGAACCAAUGGGCAUGGAACAGCAGCGGGCGCUCAGCAUCCACCGGGUUCUGCAAUGUGUAAAGCACGAGGCAAGCGAUCCAAAACCAAGGAAAAAUACGACAUCCAUAGAAAAAUAUUUGUCCAGCUCCAGGACAAACCCAGCUUUAUUCACUCUGGAAGGGAGAAGAGAUUAAAAUGUAAUCCUGGGUAAA